CCCUAUAAGUUAUAAAAUAUCUCCAUUUUACUGAUGAGGAAAAGGAAGUCAUUCAGCUUAUCAGUAAAAGAGUGGGAUUAGAGUCACAUUCUGGUGGCCUCCAAAGCCUGUGUCCUCCUCUGGGGCUUUGUUUUCAACGUGCUUUGCAGCAAAUAUUGCUGAGAUUCUUCUCUGGGCCAGAAUGUAUCUGGACUUUGGUAAAAGCAAUUGGCAUGUUUCUUCUUACCAUAGAACCCUCAUUUAGUAUGAAAAACAUGAUAUUAACAAAAAAAGACACAUACAUAAAACAAGUAUAAAUUAUAAUAAGUGCAAUGAAGCACAUGUCUUGAUUUCAGGUGAAGGGUGUCUGGCGAAUGGGGAGGGGGAUUGCUGUCUGUCUGCACAGUACCUUCAAGGGAAGCGCCUCUAAAGUUGAACCUGAUACCUGCAAGAUGAAAAGAUGUUUGUUAUAUAAAAAGCAUAACAUGAGAGAUUUCAGGGAGAAAUGUAAAUACUUUGAAGCAAGAAAGAAAAUAGAAUUUUUGAAGGACUGAAAAAGGGCAUAAAAAAGCUACAGUGCAGAUGAGCAGGAAAAAAUGGUGCAAAUUGGGGGUGGAGGGUAAGAAAUAGAAACUGAAUUAGGCUGAGCUUAUAGGUCACAGCCAGAGCUGCUGAACAUGUUCUAACUCAACAGGAGCUCAUCGGAGAGUUUGAAGCAGAGGUGUGACGUAUACUGGAAUGCGGCAAAAUCUCUUUGGUUUUGGAUUAUAAAUUUAAGAAAAUAAUCUGAGUUUCACUACAUUUAGUAGAAUCUGCUCAUUAGAAAACAUUUGUUCAUUUCCUUGGACAGGUAACGGCCGUGGAGGAAAUGAGGACAAGGCAAACCACCAUCCAUAUGAAGAAAGCUUCCCAUCCAUCCUGCUGAGAUGGAUGGAUCCAGCUUCCCAUCCCUCCACCACUCAAUGAAAUCCCACAUUCAUCCUUCAAGUCUGUGUGCAAUGUGAUUCUUCCUGGAUGCCAGACAAGGACCUGGGUACCAAAAGGGCACUGAGCUGGCUAACACUUAAGCAGUCCGUGGAUGGCAAGGCUAAAAGAGCAUACUGUAACAAGCACCCACUUGGGCUUCAGGAGUCACAAGCUCUCACACCUGGACGCUGCCAUGGGGCUAGAGCCCAGGGAUGCUCACCCUGCCUCCUGCACCUGCCCGUCUACAUGCUCCCCUUCUUUUAAAGGGUUUGAGUGUCUAUGGUGGCCAAACAGAUGAGUCACACCCCAUCACAUGUCCUGCGAGGGGGGUCAGAGAACUCUCCAGUUUCAGCUGUUGUUUUCUUAGGGCAGAGAAAGGAAAGUCCAUUCGGUGACUGUUUCACCAAGGGUGAAGCUGAGUUAUGGAGCCUAGUUAGUUGUCCCACCCUCUCCACAGGGCAACACAACCACAAGCCAGCAUGUUCUCCUCAUCUUUGAAGUAAAGCUUAAAAGGAAGCAUCCCUCAGGAUGCCUAAUGCUUGUCUUUUUCCACCUAAAUUAUAUAAUUAAGUCCAAAGUUGUACCAUAGUAAUCUAGGUAUCCUGACAGCUGAGACUAUUGUGAAAGGUAAUUGCUUCUUCUGACAACUUCUCCUAGUCUGAGUUCCUGAGGUCUGAGUUGCUCUGGGCAGAAGCCUGGGUCACAGAAGACAUGGCUUCCUACAUUUCCUCUAAGAUGGAAAUCCUGUAUCCAAAGAAAGCAAACCUAAGGUAAAAUGUGCAUAGACUCGUUCAUCAAAUGUUUGAAAUUAAACUGUCAAAGUGAAGAAACUGAAAAGGAAAAAAAAAUAUCUUGAGAGAAUCUGGCAAUACAAAAGUCAACACCCAAUUCAACAAGCCAAGACCAGAAACAGACAGAAGCACAGCAUGAAGACACAUGUAUCCUCUGUGGGAGCCUGGGAUUUGAAGCCAGGAAUAAAUGUGCAAAUCUGAAUUCUGUCUCUUCUUAGAUCUGUUUCCCUGAAAAGGAUACUGUACUCUGUAACCCUCACUUCCACCCCUGUAAUUCAAUUUUCUAGCAUCAAGUGAGUACUUAAUCUUGAAAUCACUCUUCAAAGUAUUUUACAUGUGUUUUCUUAUUUAAAGUUUAUAACCAAUCUACUUAAUCAUUAUUACUUUAUCUCAAAUUUGCAUAUAAGACAUUUGAAAACAGAGAUACCAAGUUUAUUGCUAAAGGUCACAUGGUCACUGAAUGGUGAAUUCAGGACUCAGAUUCAGACCUCUGAUUCCAGAGCCCAGUUUCUUAACAUACCUCUGGAUGAAACAGUGAAAAAAGGCAAAUAAUAAAUGAUAGUAGUAGUCACUGCUGCUAAAAAAUACUGUUUCCUCAUUUUUAGAAAUUAAAUGUUGGUAUUUAUUAAAAUAUUUUUCAUGUUUUAAUUAUAUUUAUGUUUUCUAUUAUACACUUGAGCAUAUAGAGCAUAUUUAUAGUAGUAUUUUCCAUAAACCUCAUCAUCUCUGCUUUCUGGGUCACCUUUUCUUCAUUCUUUUACUACCUAGUAACUUUUAAUUGGAUGUAGGGCAUUGUACAUUUUACGUUGUGAAGCAUUUUAUUGCAUUAUUUAAAAAUUCUUGAACUUUUACUGGCAGGAGGUCAAGUUACUUGUGUAUUAGUUAAAUCCUUUUGAGUUUUGCUUUUGAGCUGUUUUAGGGAAAAUCAAAAUUAGCCUUUAUUCUAGAGCUUUAUGAGCCCCACUAAGGAGGUUAUGUUGGCUCGCUACUGAAAGUCCUAUGGAUUCAACAGGGUGUCUCUUCUCUAGGUGAGAGAAAUUCAAAUCAUUUCCAGUCUUGUGUGAACCUUGGGUUUUGUGCAUCUUAGAGCUCACUGUAUUCCAUGUGAAUUGUGUAAUCAAGUACUAAAUUAUUGCUCUUCGGCAAUUGUUUUUUUCUUUGGAAUUUGUUCUCGUUCAUCUUUAUGGGUUUGUUUUCUUUCUGUGCAGGGACAGAUUAGUGUUUAGACAAAGACUUCAGAGUUAUUUGCAGAAUCAACAGGUUUUAGCUGUCCUGGUCUCCUCAAACUUCCAUCUUUGACUUCAACUCAGCAAGGUGGGUGGAGUCUGUUUGGGUUUUCCUUCUGUGCUGGAAUUUGUAGAUUACCUCUGGGUCCAGAAAGCAGGGGUGCUGUUUGGGCCCUCCAUUCUUGUUUUGCUUUCCCAGACAAGACAGUCUUGUGUUGCUUGCUGUCUAAUGUCACACACACACAAAAGGUGGUUUCUUGUAUUUUGUCCUAUUUUCUAUUUGUGCUUGACAAGAGUGAAAAUCCAGACUAUUUUACUCUUUCUUAGGUGGAAGCAGAAACCCACUAAUAUUAUUACAAAUUUCUCAUGAAACAGUACUUGGAAUAUCUUUCUAGAGUAUGUUAAACCCCUUAGACAAAUGGAGGGUAAGAAGAAAUAGUAGAGGUACUGACCCAGUCUGGAGAGGUUAAAGUAGAAAAGGAAGACUUCUUGGAAGAAGUGGGGCCUGAGCUGGGUCUCAAAAGCCAGAUGAGUUUUCAGAUAUAAACAUUCCUUUAGUGCCAUUGGCAAGGCAAGUUUAAAGAGAGCAUAAAUGAAUGAUUGAAAUUGCUUGACUUAAUGAAGCCUUAAUAAUAACCCUAAUUCAGUUUAUUAAGCAUCUAUCACUCAUAGAUGAAUAGCUAAUGCCUUUUCUAAUAAAACAGUCAUAAUAAAAUAAAGGAAGCCAUAGCAUAUAUUAUUUUUAUUCUUUUAAUCACGUACUUUCUAAGUGGGGAUACUGAAGCCAUUGGAAUAGCUCUACAAAAUGCACUUUUUCUUUUUUUAAUUUCAAAAUUUAAUUUACUUGAUGAUACAUCAGGAACAAUUAGGUGCUGUUUUCUUGUUCUACUGAUAAUUAAAUGAAAAAAGAUUCCAAUUUCAACUCCAUAUAUUAUGCUCUGGAAAGUGACUCUUCUUAUCAUUGGAGAAAACUAAGCAAAUGAACUGGAUUUUAAUGGCCCCACCUAAAAACAACAACAACAACAACAAAAAACUUCUUUCUUUUGGGAGCCCUCGGAUUCGGAUGCCUUCAUCCAUGAGUUCAGCCUAAUAAAAUAAUUACCUCUGUCCAUCAAUGGAUAUAGAUGACCCUUCUUCCAGUUCUACUUACAAGAGUUAAGACAUAGUGGCAUUUUCAAAAAGAAAUGCUGACAGAACAAAAGAUGAUGUUAUCCCAGGAAAUUCAAAUGAUACUAACUCAUUUAAUUUCCCAAAUAGUAGCUUUCAUAUCCUACUAUAGCUGAGUAUCUGUCAGUCCUUGAAAUGUAACACUGCUCACAGCAUCCUACCUCACUAUCCUGUCUUGCUUUUUUGGUAACUCUAAGACUGCCUCCACAUGGCUGCUGCAAUCAAGCAUCUGCUCAGUCACUUAAAAACGGCGCCUUAGAAGCCUGGCCAACUUAGGUUCAAGACUAAAAGAGGUAAGGAAAUUAAAUUUACAGACCACCUGUAACACACCAGGUAUUGUGCCAUUUUAAAAUACAGUAUCCCAUUUAGUCCAUAACUAAACUCUGAGGGGCUAUCUCCAUGUUAUUGUUGAUCAGUGAAAUAAAGCAAAUUGCCUAAAACUAUAUAAUUACUGAAUAGCAGAGGCCAGGUGUGGUGGCUUGCACCUGUAAUCCCAACUACUCAGGAGACUGAGGCAGGAGAAUCGCUUGAACCUGGGAGGCAGGGGUUGCAGUGAGCGGAGAUCGCACCACCGCACUCCAGCCUGGGUGACAGGGAGAGAUUCCACCUUUAAAAAAAAAAAUAGAAUGGCAGAACUAGGUUACCGUUUUACCUGAUUCACAGGUACCCUCAUACACACAUGCUCUGCCCAAGGUGUAGGCACUAAACCACAUUCCUGCCUCAGCAUCCCUCCAGUUUCUCUUUAGUUUUUCCUAGACUGAAUGUGCCAAUUCUUCUCUCACUUAUUUCACAAACAUUGAUUGAGCUCCUACUACAGAUUAUGUCUGAGGCUACACACCUCAAGAUGCCUUGCAAUCAAUUCCAGCUUCUGUACUUCAAAAUAUCACCAACUAGUAGAAAAUGCGGGAACGGAAGUAAUGAGUUAGUGAUUUACCCUAGGGCAUAAGAAAUGUAAAUAUUUUGGGAGAAGAAAGUAGAAAACCUGCCCAGCCUGAUUCAGGUGUGUGUGAUGGUGGAGACAGAUAGACCUCUAUGAAAAUUGUUGGCAGCAUACCUUAAAUUAAAAAAAAAGAGUUUUCCAGACAAGUAGAAAGGGGGAGGGUCUCCAAACAAGAUUUAUCCAUCAUGGAGGAAAGAUAAACACUGCUAAUUCAGAAACUGCCUUUGAGUGGAGGUCAAUGAUUAGAUCCGAUUUAAAAAGGUGAAAGUCUGUAGUGGGAUGGGGCUAAGAAAGGAAGAGGGUUGGGAUGGUUUCUGUUUUUUGCUCCAUCUGGAAUGCUUUCUUUCUUCCCGAGCAAUUUGUCCGACUGGCAAGUUUCAACUCAAGUUUCCAGGAUCAUGUGAAAACCAAUAAUUCACUUAUUUACCCAUGUUUCUAAUACAUGUUAUAAAUGCCUCUGUUUUUGCCUUUAUCACCCAGUACAAUAAUUGUGUGCCUGUCCACCAGCCCCUGGAGACUGUGAGCUUUCUAGGAAAAGAAGGGUUGUGUCCUACUUAGCUCUUACUUCCAGUACUUAGAGUAGUGGUAGUGCUAGGCAGAGGAUGAGCAUUUGACGGCCGUUUGCUCAAUGUCCUAGUAAAUGAAUGCAGUGAGAGAAACACAGUGAUAUGCUCCAAUUUUUCUUUCAUACCUACAUAAUUUUUUCAUAUAUUUACAGGCUACUAAUGUAAAUAACGACACUUUUCCCUACACCACACUUUCACCCUAUCUUCCCCUAUAGUAAGUUUUUUUUAUAACAUUUGUCCCUUAGUGAAUUUGUUUUUGACUAAAUCCAAUGUUGCUCUUAUCUGUGAGUCUCUAACCCCUCAAAAUCCAUUUGUAUUAUGUCUUUAUUCACUCUGUUGCUUGUUAUAUCUUACAGCUCAGUAUAAUUUGUGAAUUACAUUAAUAUGCUAUUUACUCUCGCUUCGAAAUCUCAUGUACUGUACCUCUUUUCAUGUAGCUUCUUACCAAGAAUAAAGUAGGUGCCUACUAAAUUAAAUGUUUCAAUGUUACUUAGUUUGGAAGGGUUAUGAAUAUAAAGAAAGAAAAAAUGAUAGAAGAGGAUUGAAUAGAUUUUGCAAAAAACAGAUGCUGAUAAAAUGUGAUGUCUGAUGAAAAAACAUGCUGGAGGAAAAUAGAUAAAAAAUAUGUGCAUUGGAGGUGUGAAAUAAUUGGAAAAUAGUCAUUUAGAAGAGAACAGCAAAAGUAUUAAUACAUAAUGCAGAACUUACAUUUAACAAAAAUAACAUGUAUACUUAGGAAACUAGAUUAUUGGAGCUGAAAGCCAAUCUGGGGACUAUUAAAUGUUUCCUUCCUUUUUUAUUGAUAAGGAGAGAAAGCCCAAGGGACUUUGUCGAGGGCAUACCCCAAAGAGUUACAAAGAAUAUUCUAGAAGCCAAGUUUCAUUUUUCCUAAUUAGCUGUUCUUUCCCAGUCUUCUACAUAUGCAAGAACUUAUGGGUUAUAAAUGAAUGAUACAUAGAUCUUUUUGAAUUUUAUGAUAUCAUUAUUAAAAUAGGGAGGAUAGUCAUCAUUUUCUUUAUCUGACACAUUAAAAAUCUAAGGCUCAGGGAGGCAGUGAUUAGUGGAAGAGCAGGCUUCUAGUUAGUGGUGAGGACAGACCCCAAACUUUUUUUCUCAUUCCAAGGCCAACGUUCUUGCAAAUAUACCACACUGAUCCUGACAUAAAAUGACUAUCCAAUUACAUUAGAAAGAAACAUGAUAACAAACUAGCCCAUCUUCAAUCUAAAAGCUGAAGAGACACGAUGACUGCUGAGAUAACAGAAAAAUAAAUUUUAGAAACUUGCCAAUGGUUGCAGACUGGAGGGUGAACAAACAUUAACACUGCAUUCAGAUAGCCCAGAAUUGAAAUACAGCUUUGAUGUUUCUGGUCAAUAUCGACAUUGUUGUCAACGCCAGCCCCAUGUAAACUGUAAAUUGUCACUUGGGCAGGCCUACUUGUGGUAAUUGUAAUUGGCUGGAGACAUAAAAUGUGAUCGAGCCAUUUCCUGAUAUUCAUCUGCAUGGGCAGAAUGAGUACCGGGAAGCAGGGGGGUUUGGCUUCUCAUAUUUCUAUGUUAGCAUCAGAUUCUGGGAAUCAGAACACCAGGUCGAUAGCAUUAACACAUAGAUGUGAAUCUCUAGAAUAGCUACAGAAACAGCUGACAGGAGAGGAGAUUCUCAAAGUAUACUGGAGAAAAAUUAAGAUGGAGUGUAUCAGCAUUGAUCAGAAAUAGGUAUUGCUUUGAAAUAUUCUUCGCUUUAGGUUGGAUGUUUGCACUAUUUCAUUUUCACAGUACUUUAUAAAAAUGUGCAUUCAAUGCAAACUGAACAAUAGAAAAAAUGUGUAUACUAUUCUUACAGAUAUAAUAGCAACUAAAACAAACAUCAUGUGUUCUUAUAUGAAGUGUCUCUAGAUUUGGAUGUAGAUUAACUCUGAUUGAACCCCACUACCACACAUAACUACAUUGCUAAUUAUACAUGUAUGUACAUAAGAAUUUAGGCAGAAGGUUUUAAACAAGUAAAUACUUGAUUUACAUUAGAGAAUACAUGGAAAUUCUUAACCAAUUUCCUACUGUACUUAUUAGCAGUGCUACUUUUGGCUGGUCACUUAAUUUUUCUGAAUCAAUUUUCUUAACUUUAAGUGUAAUAAAUAACAUUUGCCUUAAUACCCAGAGGGUUGUUAUGAGUAUUUGCAUAAUUUGAUAUAUUAAAGUAGUUUAGAAAAUCUGAGAGGGUUUCAAAAUGCCCAAAGACAGAGAUAUACUAGACCACAGCUGAGUUAAAAGCAAGAGUAACUAUCUCAAGUAUUUGAUAUUUUGAGUGGGAAAUAAAAGUAGAGAUUUCCAAUAUAUACUUCUAUGUACUCUAAAUGAAGUUGCUGCUAAAUUUAUGCUUUUUAGUUAGUUUUUUUGUUUUCCAGUUUAAGCAGACUCCAGGCCAGUAACUGCAGAUAGGAAAGGACAGGUUGGUUUCAAGACUCCAGAUAAUGAUAUCCAAAAGGGAAAAUUGGAGCAAAAUAAUAUGGAGCCAAGGCAGAAAAACAUCCAGUGGUGGAACUUAUGGGUCAACAAGUUUUUCUGGGCCCAUGAGUACCCUGGGUGCAAUCUAUGUGAGCCCCCACUUACCCUCAUAGGGAACAAGAUGAGCCCUGGUGUUUAUCUCAUUUACACAGGUGAAUGCCUGGGUUGGAUCAGGGAGUUCAAAACAGAUUAGCUGGGGCAGGUACAGGCUGCAGAUUUACUCUGAGAAGAAAUGCAACAGCCACUUUGGAGAGAUAAGCCAAUGACCGAAGUGGAAAAAUUAAAUAAUUAUCACAAAGUCACGAAAGUGGGAGAAACAAGUGGUCAAGAUCAAGAUGACCACAGCAGCAGCAUGGUGUCCGGGAGCUGGAGCAGCAUGGGCCUGGAUGAGGACGCCCAUGUCUGGGGGAUCUGUGCCCUGCUUUGAGGGACUGGCUGCUCAGUGCAUUGGCAGUGAGAAAGGUAGAAAAAUAUCCCCUCUCAAAGAUGUCUACAUCUUAAACACUAGAACCUGCAAAUGUAUUACCUUAUAGUACAAAAGGGACUUUGCAGGUGUGAUUAAGUUAAAGAUUUUGAGAUGAGGAGAUUAUCUUGGAUCACCAUAGAUUAUGUCCAAUAUAAUCACAAAGGUCCAUACAGAGAGAGGCAGGAAGGUCGGUGUCAGAAGGGCAGUGUGGCAAUGGAAGCUGAGAUUGUAGAGGUGUAUCCAGGAGCCAAGGAAUGUGGAAAAUCUCUAGAAGCUGGAAAAGGCAAAAAAUAAAAUAAAAUAAAAUAAAAUAAAAUGUAAUUUUCCCCUGGAGUUUCCAGAAAGAACACAGUCUUGCCAACAUGCUGAUUGUAGCCCUAUACAAUUCAUUUUGGAUAUGUGACCUUCAAGAACAUAAGAUAAUAAAUUUGUGUUGUCUUAAGCCAUCAACUUUGUGGUAAUUUUUUACUGCAGCUCUGGAGAUGAAAACAGGCAGAUGAGUCUAUUUUUAGGAUUCAUCCAGAGUCUAGGCAGGGCUCUUCAUGGGUAUUUAACAGAUUUGAGAAAAGGCAAGAAAUAACUAAUGGGGAAGCAGAUUCUAAGGACACGAGAAAAUAAUUUU
rnacentral:lncRNA from 10 species